UACGUAGGGUGCGAGCGUUAAUCGGAAUUACUGGGCGUAAAGCGUGCGCAGGCGGUUUUGUAAGCCAGAUGUGAAAGCCCCGGGCUUAACCUGGGAAUGGCAUUUGGGACUGCAAGGCUGGAGUGUGGCAGAGGAGACUGGAAUUCCUGGGUGUAGCGGUGAAAUGCGCAGAUAUCAGGAGGAACAUCCGUGGCGAAGGCGGCUCUCGUGGGACGGUACUGACGCUGAGACGGCGAAAGCGUGGGGAGCGAACAGG
rnacentral:rRNA from 1 species